GAUCAACCACAUACCGUUUUU
rnacentral:snRNA from 1 species